rnacentral:rRNA from 1 species
AGAGUUUGAUCCUGGCUCAGGGCUAACGCUGGCGGCGUGUCUUAGCCAUGCAAGUCGAGCGGACUUAUGGGGUAACUUAUAAGUCAGCGGCGGACGGCGGAGUAACACGUAGCUAACCUACCCUCUGGACGGGGAUAACCUACCGAAAGGUGGGCUAAUACCCGAUGUAGUCAUCCUGUAUAGGGGUGAUGAAAGGUGGGCUUCUGUUUACAAGCUCAUGCUGGAGGAGGGGGCUGCGGCCUAUCAGGUAGUUGGUAGGGUAAUAGCCUACCAAGCCGAUGACGGGUAGCCGGCCUGAGAGGGUGACCGGCCCGAGGGGCACUGAGAUACGGGUCCCACUCCUACGGGAGGCAGCAGGCUAGAAAUUUGGGCAAUGGGGGAAACCCUGACCCAGUGACGCCGCGUGCAGGAAGGAGCCCUUCGGGGUGUAAACUGCUGUCGUGUAGGGAGAAGGGUACUAAGGUGAACAAUCUUAGUACUUGACGGUACUACAGGAGGAAGCCCAGGCUAACCUCGUGCCAGCAGCCGCGGUAAUACGGGGUGGGCGAGCGUUGCCCGGAAUUACUGGGUUUAAAGGGGGUGUAGGCGGUCUGGAUAGUCGGGUGUGUAAUGCAAUCGCUCAACGAUUGAGCUGCAUCUGAUACUUCCAGGCUAGAGGGCGGUAGAGGAGAGCGGAACUCCCGGUGUAGCGGUGGAAUGCGUAGAUAUCGGGAGGAACGCCGGUGGCGAAGGCGGCUCUCUGGGCCGUUCCUGACGCUGAGGCCCGAAAGCUGGGGGAGCGAAAGGGAUUAGAUACCCCUGUAGUCCCAGCCGUAAACGAUGGGCACUAGGUGUACCUUUUAACGGAGGUAUACCGUCGGGAAACCAAUAAGUGCCCCACCUGGGGAGUACGCCCGCAAGGGUGAAACUCAAAUGAAUUGACGG